UACGGAGGGUGCGAGCGUUGUCCGGAAUCAUUGGGCGUAAAGGGCGCGUAGGUGGCCCGGUCAGUUCGUGGUGAAAGCGCGGGGCUCAACUCCGCGUCGGCCUGAAUAACUGCUGGGCUUGAGCACUGUAGAGGCAGGCGGAAUUCCGGGUGUAGCGGUGGAAUGCGUAGAGAUCCGGAAGAACACCGGUGGCGAAGGGCGGCCUGCUGGGGCAGUAGCUGACACUGAGGCGCGACAGCGUGGGGAGCAAACAGG
rnacentral:rRNA from 1 species